rnacentral:RNase_P_RNA from 1 species
AGCGCAGGUCGCCCUAUCGCUGUCCCGGGAAAUCGGGAGAGAGGAAAGUCCGGACACCAUAGCACAACAUAGCGGGUAACGCCCGUCGUCCCGUCCCGAUCCCGAUAGCUAUCGGGACUAUCGGGACGGGGAAGGACCAGUGCAACAGAAAGCAAGUACAGUUCGGCUGUAGUGAAAUCGGUAAACUCUAUGUGGUGAAAUGUUAUGUAAACCAAGGCUUGAGGGUUGUGCGCCCGAUCUUGGAGGGUAAACAGAUUGAGGUUUUUGGUAACAAAAAUCCUAGAUAAAUGAUAGGGUCCCGAUUUCGAUCGGGAACAGAAUCCGGCUUACAGACCUGCUUUUUUU